rnacentral:lncRNA from 1 species
UAAAUACCCAUGCACCCAUAUUAUGUAUUUCACGUGUUCUCUAUCAAUACAGCAGCAAACUUACUUUUCUCAGCAGUUCGACUCUAUUCUCUCAAUUUCCACGAUCAACACUAGGUAAAAUUCAUAAUCUAGAUUAGGUGUUGAUAAGAUGCUUUAUCAAUAAAUAUAAUAAAAAAUACUAAUUUUAAUUAAAUACAUAUUUGAGCUGAAUAUUAAAAAAAAUAAAAAAAAAAUAAAUAUUAUUCAACCAUAGUUAGUUAUUUCC